AUUGAACGCUGGCGGCAGGCCUAACACAUGCAAGUCGAGCGGAUGAAGGGAGCUUGCUCCUGGAUUCAGCGGCGGACGGGUGAGUAAUGCCUAGGAAUCUGCCUGGUAGUGGGGGAUAACGUCCGGAAACGGGCGCUAAUACCGCAUACGUCCUGAGGGAGAAAGUGGGGGAUCUUCGGACCUCACGCUAUCAGAUGAGCCUAGGUCGGAUUAGCUAGUUGGUGGGGUAAAGGCCUACCAAGGCGACGAUCCGUAACUGGUCUGAGAGGAUGAUCAGUCACAAUGGAACUGAGACACGGUCCAGACGCCUACGGGAGGCAGCAGUGGGGAAUAUUGGACAAUGGGCGAAAGCCUGAUCCAGCCAUGCCGCGUGUGUGAAGAAGGUCUUCGGAUUGUAAAGCACUUUAAGUUGGGAGGAAGGGCAGUAAGUUAAUACCUUGCUGUUUUGACGUUACCAACAGAAGAAGCACCGGCUAACUUCGU
rnacentral:rRNA from 1 species